UUAAGCGACUAAGCGUACACGGUGGAUGCCCUGGCAGUCAGAGGCGAUGAAGGACGUGCUAAUCUGCGAUAAGCGUCGGUAAGGUGAUAUGAACCGUUAUAACCGGCGAUUUCCGAAUGGGGAAACCCAGUGUGUUUCGACACACUAUCAUUAACUGAAUCCAUAGGUUAAUGAGGCGAACCGGGGGAACUGAAACAUCUAAGUACCCCGAGGAAAAGAAAUCAACCGAGAUUCCCCCAGUAGCGGCGAGCGAACGGGGAGCAGCCCAGAGCCUGAAUCAGUGUGUGUGUUAGUGGAAGCGUCUGGAAAGGCGCGCGAUACAGGGUGACAGCCCCGUACACAAAAAUGCACAUGCUGUGAGCUCGAUGAGUAGGGCGGGACACGUGGUAUCCUGUCUGAAUAUGGGGGGACCAUCCUCCAAGGCUAAAUACUCCUGACUGACCGAUAGUGAACCAGUACCGUGAGGGAAAGGCGAAAAGAACCCCGGCGAGGGGAGUGAAAAAGAACCUGAAACCGUGUACGUACAAGCAGUGGGAGCACGCUUAGGCGUGUGACUGCGUACCUUUUGUAUAAUGGGUCAGCGACUUAUAUUCUGUAGCAAGGUUAACCGAAUAGGGGAGCCGAAGGGAAACCGAGUCUUAACUGGGCGUUAAGUUGCAGGGUAUAGACCCGAAACCCGGUGAUCUAGCCAUGGGCAGGUUGAAGGUUGGGUAACACUAACUGGAGGACCGAACCGACUAAUGUUGAAAAAUUAGCGGAUGACUUGUGGCUGGGGGUGAAAGGCCAAUCAAACCGGGAGAUAGCUGGUUCUCCCCGAAAGCUAUUUAGGUAGCGCCUCGUGAAUUCAUCUCCGGGGGUAGAGCACUGUUUCGGCAAGGGGGUCAUCCCGACUUACCAACCCGAUGCAAACUGCGAAUACCGGAGAAUGUUAUCACGGGAGACACACGGCGGGUGCUAACGUCCGUCGUGAAGAGGGAAACAACCCAGACCGCCAGCUAAGGUCCCAAAGUCAUGGUUAAGUGGGAAACGAUGUGGGAAGGCCCAGACAGCCAGGAUGUUGGCUUAGAAGCAGCCAUCAUUUAAAGAAAGCGUAAUAGCUCACUGGUCGAGUCGGCCUGCGCGGAAGAUGUAACGGGGCUAAACCAUGCACCGAAGCUGCGGCAGCGACGCUUAUGCGUUGUUGGGUAGGGGAGCGUUCUGUAAGCCUGUGAAGGUGUGCUGUGAGGCAUGCUGGAGGUAUCAGAAGUGCGAAUGCUGACAUAAGUAACGAUAAAGCGGGUGAAAAGCCCGCUCGCCGGAAGACCAAGGGUUCCUGUCCAACGUUAAUCGGGGCAGGGUGAGUCGACCCCUAAGGCGAGGCCGAAAGGCGUAGUCGAUGGGAAACAGGUUAAUAUUCCUGUACUUGGUGUUACUGCGAAGGGGGGACGGAGAAGGCUAUGUUGGCCGGGCGACGGUUGUCCCGGUUUAAGCGUGUAGGCUGGUUUUCCAGGCAAAUCCGGAAAAUCAAGGCUGAGGCGUGAUGACGAGGCACUACGGUGCUGAAGCAACAAAUGCCCUGCUUCCAGGAAAAGCCUCUAAGCAUCAGGUAACAUCAAAUCGUACCCCAAACCGACACAGGUGGUCAGGUAGAGAAUACCAAGGCGCUUGAGAGAACUCGGGUGAAGGAACUAGGCAAAAUGGUGCCGUAACUUCGGGAGAAGGCACGCUGAUAUGUAGGUGAGGUCCCUCGCGGAUGGAGCUGAAAUCAGUCGAAGAUACCAGCUGGCUGCAACUGUUUAUUAAAAACACAGCACUGUGCAAACACGAAAGUGGACGUAUACGGUGUGACGCCUGCCCGGUGCCGGAAGGUUAAUUGAUGGGGUUAGCGCAAGCGAAGCUCUUGAUCGAAGCCCCGGUAAACGGCGGCCGUAACUAUAACGGUCCUAAGGUAGCGAAAUUCCUUGUCGGGUAAGUUCCGACCUGCACGAAUGGCGUAAUGAUGGCCAGGCUGUCUCCACCCGAGACUCAGUGAAAUUGAACUCGCUGUGAAGAUGCAGUGUACCCGCGGCAAGACGGAAAGACCCCGUGAACCUUUACUAUAGCUUGACACUGAACAUUGAGCCUUGAUGUGUAGGAUAGGUGGGAGGCUUAGAAGUGUGGACGCCAGUCUGCAUGGAGCCGACCUUGAAAUACCACCCUUUAAUGUUUGAUGUUCUAACGUUGACCCGUAAUCCGGGUUGCGGACAGUGUCUGGUGGGUAGUUUGACUGGGGCGGUCUCCUCCUAAAGAGUAACGGAGGAGCACGAAGGUUGGCUAAUCCUGGUCGGACAUCAGGAGGUUAGUGCAAUGGCAUAAGCCAGCUUGACUGCGAGCGUGACGGCGCGAGCAGGUGCGAAAGCAGGUCAUAGUGAUCCGGUGGUUCUGAAUGGAAGGGCCAUCGCUCAACGGAUAAAAGGUACUCCGGGGAUAACAGGCUGAUACCGCCCAAGAGUUCAUAUCGACGGCGGUGUUUGGCACCUCGAUGUCGGCUCAUCACAUCCUGGGGCUGAAGUAGGUCCCAAGGGUAUGGCUGUUCGCCAUUUAAAGUGGUACGCGAGCUGGGUUUAGAACGUCGUGAGACAGUUCGGUCCCUAUCUGCCGUGGGCGCUGGAGAACUGAGGGGGGCUGCUCCUAGUACGAGAGGACCGGAGUGGACGCAUCACUGGUGUUCGGGUUGUCAUGCCAAUGGCACUGCCCGGUAGCUAAAUGCGGAAGAGAUAAGUGCUGAAAGCAUCUAAGCACGAAACUUGCCCCGAGAUGAGUUCUCCCUGACCCUUUAAGGGUCCUGAAGGAACGUUGAAGACGACGACGUUGAUAGGCCGGGUGUGUAAGCGCAGCGAUGCGUUGAGCUAACCGGUACUAAUGAACCGUGAGGCUUAACCU
rnacentral:rRNA from 1 species